rnacentral:lncRNA from 1 species
AUAAAGGAAGUCAUAUAUCAUGAGUAGAAACAACGGCGGAAGUAUACAGACACAAUUCAGACUGACGAUAUAUGUUGUGGUUAAGUUUGAUUAAUGGAAGAAUUAAUCAAUUUCAAAAAGAAUACGUUGCGACUUUUGUUUUUAUUCGCCACAUUUUUCGAAGGUUGUUGUUGUAAUCAUGAGGCUCAACACGAUGAUGAUGUCCGGUAUACAAUGUUACUACGUAGGUAAGACAUCCCUACUUGAUCGACAAGAAUAUUCGGAUCUAUUCCCAUUGCUGAUAUAGUGUGACAUACAAAACGAAAAUUAACUCAGUACUUAUAUACUUAUAUAUAUAUAUAUAUAUAUAUAUAUAUAUAUGUAUGUAUGUAUGUAUGUAUGUAUGUAUAUGCGAAAAAGGAACAUGGUUUCAAACACACCCAUAUCUUUCUGUUUACCCUCCUCUGCUCAUUUCAUAAAAUCAUUAUCCCUUACUAUGAUAUCUGAUAUAUUUUCUUAGUGAAAACAUCGCACUUACUCCAAUGCUUUUUUCUUUCAUAUAUUUUACUUCGUUUUAUCAGAGGUUUUGUGAUUAUUUUAUAACAUUAAUAUGGUUUAUUUCAUAUUUUAUGAAAAAACUGCAUACAAUAAGAUGAAAAUAAAACAUAUACCCGCCCGAUAUUUGGAAGUAUCAAUCAACUUUAAACAGCAAAGUAGAUUAUUUUCCUCAUAAACACAAUAUCGAUUCUCUGAAAACUGAAUGUUUCAGAAAUGUUAUCACACAAAUAUUUAAUAUGCAAUUAAAUUUUUAGAACAUACCGAACCCCGACCUUAUAUACUCAAAAGUAUACAAAUCAGAAACCAUACAGUGGUUUACGUUAAAAUAACAAGUAAUAAGCGAAAAAACUGAUAAAUUCAUGAUAAAUUCAUGCUUUGCAAUUAAUAAUUAGGGCUUGAUUAUUUUUCAUCCUCCCAUUUACUAUCGUGGUUAUUUAUUAUUAUUAUUAUUAUUAUUAUUAUUAUUAUUAUUAUUAUUAUUAUUAUUAUUAUUAUUAUUAUUAUUAUUAUUAUUAUUAUUAUUAUUAUUAUUAUUAUCAAAGCUGCCCACUGUCAUCCCGCUGUAAAAUGUAGCGAAAUAUCAUCAAUACAUGUAUGUAUAUAUACAUAUAUGAAAUUGCAUAUUUAUGAUAUGCAUAAUAUGUAUAUAUACUGUCA